rnacentral:lncRNA from 1 species
UUCGAGUUAUUAGAGUUUUUAGCCUAGUUUUGUGUCCUUAGUCUUGUUUAAUAUUUUUAAAUUAAUUUAGAAUAGAUUAGCAAUCCCUCCUAAUCCCCGGCCUAGAACGAUACCCUACUUACAUCUAUACUACAAUUGUCAAAAAGAGGGUUUAAUUUGUGUGUCAAGUUAUUUUACGCAUCAAGCAUGCAAAUCACCAUUUCAUCAAGUCUUGGUAGGCUUGAAGUCAUUUGCAAAGACAUAAUGCACACCUGUUAAAGCCUUAUUUGCAUGGGUAACUAACAUGUUCCAAGGUUGUUCUCUCAUAUGAAUGCUUAACAAAGGAACACAUUUAUUUUCAAGGGAGUUUUAACGAAACACUACCGGUACUGUUUACUUUUAAUGAAAAUGAGAAUUUUAAUCUAAAAAGUAACUCUUGGUACUAUUCACUUACAACACCUUUUUGUCAUUUUGAUUAAAACUCAAAGUUUUCAAACAUUUUCAUUAGUUUUCCUUAUUUUGAACACACUAAUAGUGAUUGAUAUCAUUCCAUCCCAUUAAUUUGCUUGUCCAAGAAUGAUGAUGCUUUGUUCAUUCUUUGAUUACCAUUUCAUUUACUAUGCAUUUUUGGAUAAUCUUUUACUUGGUUCUUUUUUUUUAUUCCCACAAUUGUAAUCACAACCAACAAACAAGCCAGAGCUAAUUAAUAUUAGGACUAGACUAUAAAGAGGCAACACCUCUCUAAUGCAUUUUACCAAGCAGCUAAAGGGCAUAUACGAAGGGCAACUCCAACCUUCAAAGGGGUAGCACCCAUGUCAUCCAUGGAGAUUCACCGGAGUUCGGAGGGUCAGCUGACCCCCUUGCCCCUAAGUCGGUUUGCCCCUGGAAAUAGGUUACCGACAUGUAACCUUCGUGUAAACCUGUUAAGGAUCCGUUAUUAACGGAUUCUUAUCUUGCUGACCAAAACCCAUUAUUUCAUGUCGUCUAUGUGUCAUGUUAACGAGUUGUGUACGAAAUUGCUAAGUCUAGUGGGAACGGGAUACUAGUGAAGAGCCGAAAGCAAGAGAACAUCUAACUUUCAAUACAAGGCAAAUUAGCCUUUCAUUGGAGUACAUUGGUGCACUAAUGGCACCCUGUGAGGCAACUUGCAAUUCUAUGAGGAUGCAAAUGUUGGAAAUGUGCCCUAAAGCCAAUCAUAUGAUGAUACAUUACAGACAUUUCACAUGUUAAACUAAUCUGGUUUAAUAUAAAGGGCAAAGAUUAUUGUUUGAAGCUAUCUCAUCUAAAAGUUAUAUGCUUAAAUGAUAAGUCCAAGAAAUAUGUAAUUGGGAGAAUGUGAUCUAAAGAAGUUAGAUUCAUGAGACCAUUCUCUUUCAAAUACAUAUCCUAAAAGUUCUUGAUCAUAUGAUUGCCAAUUGGGCAUUGACAGUCCAUUCAGAUCAAUACGUGAUAUGUUUUCUCUUAGGAAGAAUGACCGGUCUCGAGUCAUUGGUGUGACUGACAUCAAGACAAGGAUGUAGGUUCUCAAUACAGAAUGAGUCCACUGAACACGAUCAACAAGUACUUCUCAUACCCAUGUCACAUGAGAACUCAUGGUUGGGAUAAUGCAAAUUAGUUCUUUGACCUGAGGCAUCAUAGUUGUCUUGUGGUUGGAACCCAUGUCACAUGACAUACUGCUAGGUGUCACUCAUGGUUUGUGGAAGCCCUAAAGGUGUAUAAUCACUAAAUGGAGGAUUGAAAGUAAGUUUAAAUUCAUAAUCGAUUUGAAGAGUUCUAAUUGCCCACUGCCUCGCUAAAAGGAACCUAAUGGAUCAUACACCGAGUAAGGUAGAGAUUGAAGAAACAAUGGAGAUGAGUAAGGAUAAUUAAAUGGUUUAAUUAUUUAUGGCUAGGAUUAAUUAAUAUGUUAAUUAAUCAAACGAAUAAGUUCGUUAUAGACCUCGGGUUAGUUUUGGGCCUCAAGGCCCAAUGGGAUUUGAAUGUUAAGCCCAUUAACAUAAGUUGUAUAACAAUUUAGUGACUAAAAACUCAAAAGGGCCUAAACAGCCCAAAGGCACAAGGAGGCCGACCAUAUAGAGAAGGAAAUGGGUUUUGGUUCUUUUUUGUCACUUAAUUGAAGGGACUAUAUAAAGGACUUUAACAUUUUCAUAAUUAGGGUUUUCUAAGGGAAGAUAAGAGAACACAAAAGCUCUCUCUUCUCUAAUGAAGGCCGGCCACGCUAGGGAGAAAUUACUAGCAUCUCUCUUCCUAGAUCACUCAUCUCUUCAUCAAUGCUCUCCUUGGUGUAGAGACUUAGAGGUUUUCUAUUUUGGGAACUUAGAGAAUCCAUGCAUCCAUCCUCCUCCAAGAAAUCCAUAGAGCUAAGAAGUAAGAAAUGAAGGUCCUCUCUCUUGGGUGAUUAGCCUUUAUUUAUGCAAAGAGGAAUCAACAAAGGUAUAAGAUUUCUCAAUUCACUUUGUUUUGAGUUGAGUCUUGGUUCACUACAACUACUAGGCUUUGAAUUUCAUGGGUUAAGUUUUGUUUUUGAGUGCAUACAAGCAUGAUUUCGCCCUUUAAUUGUUAAUAACAUGCAUAGAUGUUGCUCAAAUGAACUAGUUUUCACAAAUAUUUCCUUCAAGUGAUAUCAGAGCCUAGGUUUAGUAGUUGGAGAAUCCUGUUGCUCCUUUGAAUGUAAAUUUUGCUUGAAAAUUUGCCAUCUCAAAUGUUGUAGAUGUAGUUCAUAUGAGCAUGAAUUUUGGAGCUAAAAUUUGGUGCCAUGUUCGUGGGGAAAUUCGGCCAAAUCCAAAGGGUGGAUUUUUGGGUUUAAGUUUGUCUUGUUAAAAAUGUUUUAAAGUGACAUUAGGAACCCCUAAGUACCCUAGUAUGGUAAUAUGUUAUUUCCCUUAAGUUUGAGAGUUUUUGGUGUGUUUUUUGGUGAAAAUUGUUCAUGAAGUUUAUAGGUUUUCAUGGAUGUUCUUCAUUGUUCUUGUUAUGUUAUUGGCAAGAACAAAAAGUUUGGGAAUUUUGGAUUCAAAAUUUUUGGUUGUUUACAUAAAGUCCUGAUUUAUGAUGGUUGGUGUGACUUUUCCAUCAACAAGUCACUUUUGAAAAAGUGUGUUUGAAAUUAUGUUAGUCAUGGUUAGUGUACAUGAUUGGUACUUUGCUUUCACACUCAUACCUAUUUUCUUUCAACACCAUACCCAUCACAUUUUCAACCCAUCACCUUUCACUUAGUUGAAAAUUUUCAAAAGUUUUAUGACACCACUUGUUGAAGUUCCUUUAGAGUGCAUAUAUAAGGAUAAUAUAGUGGCACGAGUAAGGGUGUCGUACCACAAAGACUAAGAAACAACUUAGUAAAACCUUUCACUCUUACAAAUUAGCAUUAGUCAAAGACUCCUAUGAAAAGAGAAAAAUUAGAACUAUCUAAAAACAAACCUAAGACAUGGAAUAGGUUAGAAACGUUUUUAGGACAUAAAUCUGACUUCAAAUAAGCAAAGGCCUUCCCCUAAACAUUCCUGAAUCAGUGAUAUGAUCUUUUAACUUAUCCCUUUCAAAUGCACAACUAAGAUGUUCACAUAUCUAGCAUGGCUUAUACAUAAAACUUAUAUUUGUAGGUGCAACCUAGCAUGACAUAUACUCAGAUUUAGUACCUAGAAACUCAUUAAGAAUGAAGAGGAUUAUGAACAUCACAUGAACCCUAGAACAUGGCAUUUAUCCUAGAACUUCAAGGAAUCAAUUUACAUGAUUACUUAUGAACCUAACCACAUGUAGCUAAUGAAUGAAAGAAGACAUGGCAAUCAUCCUUGUCAUUCUCAACAGAAAGCAAACAUAAACAAGGUAGCUAAGCUUGAAAAUAUAUGCUUGAAAUGAUUGAACCAGAAAAUUGAUUCUAGCUUGCAAAUGAAAUUGAUAGAUUAAAACUGCAUCAUAACAUUAAUUCAAUCAUAUCUAGGGCUUCAAAGCAGCCCUAAGUAUCCAUAAAAAAAAAAUACAUAAAAAGUCAGGAAAGCUAGAACCUAGAAACUACUCAAGGUUGAAGACUCCUGCUCUCUCCAGAUUCUGUGUUUUUCUGUCUUUUUUUUCUCCUCUUCUCCCCUCAUGUUGUGUAUUUGUCUCCUAUGAAAAGGCUUAGGAGUUUUCUAGCAUCUAACACAUUUACAUUCUUAAAUUGACUUUCAUUUAUAGCUCAUUACAAUCAGGUUUUAGUAUAGGAGUAACUAAAAACUAGCUGUUUUCAGAAUUUGUAACUGAAUAGCUCCUCUUUAUUCUGUCAUAAUUUUUGGUCGAGAAAUAAGACUUCCAGGGCUUUCCAACCAUAUAUGGCCCAUUUUCUCAUUCGUUCUGAGCACUUCAGGGCAAAGCUCACAAGUUGGCUGUUUUGCAAGGGCCUUUUCUGGCAGAUCUUGGGUCACUUGUGGGCUACGGUCUGGUCUUGGGAGAGUUGGGCUUCAAACUAUCCAUUCUAAGCUCUUAAAAUAUUCAAAAUAAGAUGAUUUCUUCAAGCCCUUACUUUCAUCGUGAAAUACAAUAUAAACAAUAAAAUACCUUGUGACGCAUAGAGAUUUUAAGUUAACCUAAGUAAAAGAGGGCAUAAAAGUUAAACAUGUACAUUCCUAUUAUUUAAUUGCAAAUGGCUUUAAUAAUAACUCAAAAAGACUAAAAAUUCAAUACCAGGCACUUUGUAGCUGCUCUAAAGCAAUAGGCUACUUGAAUGGAUUGAAAGACAUGCAACUGAAAAUAAAAUAAAUUAAGUUAGUAAGCGAAACUAAAAGGAAUUACAAAGUUGUUUAAGCGUAGUCCCUAGCACCGAUGCCAUUUUGUUGAAGUUCCUUUCGAGUGCAAAUAUAAGGAUAAUAUAAUGGCACAAGGGUGUCAAACCACAGGGACUAAGAAACAAAUUAGUAAAACCUUUGACUCUUACAAAUUAGCAUUAAUUAAAGACUCCUAUGAAUUAAAAUGGGGGGUUUGAGUAAUUUUGGAAAGGAAAUAAAGACAGAAAGAAAAGGGAAAAUUAGAACUAUCUAGAAACAAACCUAAGACAUGGAAUAGGUUAGAAACAUUUUUAGGACAUAAAUCUGACUUCAAAUAAACAAAGGCCUUCCCCUAAACAUUCCUGAAUUAGUGAUAUGAUCUUUUAACUUCUCGCUUUCAAAUGCACAACUAAGAUGUUCACAUAUCUAGCAUGGCAUAUAACUAGAUUCUAUGAAUCCUCUCUUACUUUGCAUGUUAGAUGCAUGGCAUAUACCUAAAACUUAUAUUUGUAGGUGCAACCUAGCAUGGCAUAUACUCAGAUUUAGCACCUAGAAACUCAUUAAGAACGAAGAGGAUUAUGAACAUCACAUGAACCCUAUAACAUGGCAUUUAUCCUAAAACUUCAUGGAAUCAGUUUACAUGAUUAAUUCUAAACCUAACCACAUGUUGCUAAUGCAUGAAAGAAGAUAUGGCAAUCAUCCUUAUCAUUCUCAACAGAAAGAAAACAUAAACAAGCCUUUUAAUAUGUGCUUGAAAUGAUUGAAACAUAAAACCGAUUCUAGCUUGCAAAUGAAAUUGAUAAACUAAAACUGAAUCAUAAUAUUCAUUCAAUCAUGUCUAGGGCUUCAAAGCAGGCCUAAGUAUCAUAAAAACAAAAUACAUAAAAAGUCAGGAAAGUUAGAACCUAGAAACUGCUCAAGGCCAAAGACUCUUGUUUUCUUUCUCAAGAUUCUACUCUUUCUGUCACAUCCCACAUCGCCCAGGGGAGUGAUCCUUAAAUGUAUAUUCUCAUCUCUACCUAGCACGAGGCCUUUUGGAAGCUCACUGGCUUCGGGUUCCGUCGGAACUCCGAAGUUAAGCGAGAAGAUGGCGGC